rnacentral:rRNA from 1 species
GGUUCAGGAUGAACGCUAGCGACAGGCCUAACACAUGCAAGUCGAGGGGCAGCGCGGGAGGAGCUUGCUUUCCUGGCGGCGACCGGCGCACGGGUGCGUAACAGGUGUGCAAUCUGUCCAUAGUCGGGGGAUAGCCCAGCGAAAGCUGAAUUAACACUCCAUGUGAAUCGAAGCCGCAUGACUUUGAUUUGAAACGCAAGGACUAUGGGUGAGCACGCUUCUGAUUAGCUAGUUGGUGGGGUAACGGCUCACCAAGGCGACGAUCAGUAGGGUUCUGAGAGGAAGGUCCCCCACAUUGGAACUGAGACACGGUCCAAACUCCUACGGGAGGCAGCAGUGAGGAAUAUUGGUCAAUGGGCGAGAGCCUGAACCAGCCAAGUCGCGUGAAGGAUGAAGGUUCUAUGGAUUGUAAACUUCUUUUGUCCGAGGGUAAAAAAGGCCACGUGUGGCUUCUUGCAAGUAUCGGACGAAUAAGCAUCGGCUAACUCCGUGCCAGCCGCAGC